AGUGAACGCUGGCGGUAGGCCUAACACAUGCAAGUCGAACGGCAGCACAGGAGAGCUUGCUCUCUAGGUGGCGUGUGGCGGACGGGUGAGGAAUACAUCGGAAUCUGCCCAGUCGUGGGGGAUAACGUAGGGAAACUUACGCUAAUACCGCAUACGACCUUCGGGUGAAAGAGGGGGAUCGCAAGACCUCUCGCGAUUGGAUGAGCCGAUGUCGGAUUAGCUAGUUAGCGGGGUAAUGGCCCACCAAGGCGACGAUCCGUAGCUGGUCUGAGAGGAUGAUCAGCCACACUGGAACUGAGACACGGUCCAGACUCCUACGGGAGGCAGCAGUGGGGAAUAUUGGACAAUGGGCGCAAGCCUGAUCCAGCCAUACCGCGUGGGUGAAGAAGGCCUUCGGGUUGUAAAGCCCUUUUGUUGGGAAAGAAAUCUUUCAGGCUAAUACCCUGGGAGGAUGACGGUACCCAAAGAAUAAGCACCGGCUAACUUCGUG
rnacentral:rRNA from 1 species